UAUAUUCCACUUCAAGAGGUCAAUAAUAAAAGCAAUAAAAGCUCAAUUUGAAGAGUGAAACUCAAAGGAGAUUAGAGAUGACAAACACAAAGAUUAUCCAUAAAAUCAAGACAAGCAAGAAAUUAAAGGUUUUCAAGAAAGUAAGCACUCAAAAGAAGCACCUAAAGAUUGGCACUAGAAUUGGAUUACAAAAAGAAAAACAAAGAAUGAUGAAAAUUCUUAGUAGACCAUGAAAUCCAAAAUGUUGCUGCCCAAUGUAGCUUGGUCCAAAGAACUCAAUUCUCACGGGUCCCGCGCUAAGGAACUCCAAUUGCCAAAUUUCUCACCAAAAUUUACGCUCCCUCAUUAUUCAACAAAUUCCAAUUUGCUUUCACUGAUUCUACUUUAAUUUCUUCAAUUAAUUGCACACCUUGGUAGUACUUGAUUCACCUGCACAUUCGCCACACCAUUUCUCAUCAAAUUCUUCAAAUUUACGGACCCCACAAUUCACUGCAUCAGCUUCAAUCAAUUUGUAAUUCACAAAUUGAAUUCAAAUGUAGACAUACUUUUUUUUUUAUUUAAUUAAAAUCUGCACCAAAAUGAUCAACAAUUUCAAGCAAUCAAAUCUGAAUCAGAACAGCUAGUAUGAAGACCUACGCUUCUCAAUUACAAUUUCAAAAUUCACCAACAGCUUCACUUUGCCAAUUUCACAAGCUAAACCGGAAAAUUCUGCAUCAAGACUUGCACCAGUNNNNNNNNNNNNNNNNNNNNNNNNNNNNNNNNNNNNNNNNNNNNNNNNNNNNNNNNNNNNNNNNNNNNNNNNNNNNNNNNNNNNNNNNNNNNNNNNNNNNAUUCUUGCUUCAACAAAAUUGAACCAAUUUAGUUUACGCACUUUGCUUUCUCUAUCUCACUUUUCUUGCAUUCAAUGAGGCAAUUUUAAUUAAAUCUCUAGAUCAAUACACCAACCAAUUAUGCACCGGAAUUUUACUCAAUUAAGCAUUGCAUCGUAAACACCAAUUAUGAACCAAAUGAUGCAAACAAUUCAAGUCAUCAUACUACAUCACAACAUCGUGAUCAAUUCAUCAAACAGUUUCAAUGCACAAAAUUAUACCACCAAAUUUUACUAAUCAAAAGAGAAACUGCACACCAAUUUCGAAACCAAUCACCGCUGCAUCACUACCAGAAACAUCAAGGGAAACACCAGAAUUUAUUAAAACAAAUUGAAUGAAUCUAAUUUUUUUUUUAAUUCAAUUAGGCAAAUAAACCUCCACUACACACAUGCAUACUCCAGCUGCUGCCAAAAUUUAAACCACAGAGGAAUUUAAGCAAACAACUUAUCUGCAGUUCUUGUUUACGUAGUUGCAAAACCAAAAUUCUCACUAAACAAUAUGAACUCUAGCUUCAAUUGAUUUUGGUUCUGCACUCCAAACUGCUCUGUUCAACGCAGAUGCCAAAUUUCACUCUAAUUCUAGAAAUCAUUUGAAUGAAACACGCACCGAUUCAAAAUGAACAAAUUGCAACCCACCGUUCACCUAUUCUCCGAUUAAUCUUCUCCAAAAUCGCUCCACAAUACGAAGAACAAUGAACGCAAAAGGUAGAACCAAAAAUCUUCGGAAUCGGAAGUGAAAGCGGAAGAAGAACUUACAUGAAUCAAUUCAUUCUUCACUGCUUUAAUUCUUCGAUUUUCAAUUCACCAGACCAACUCGAUCGUGAUUCAAACAGAUUUCUCCGGUCGUCUUCUCCGUUCACCGAUUUCACUGGAAAACGCCACUGUCGUUUGCGAUUCCUCCGUUCACAAUUCCUCCGCGCGCGAUUCCGAUUUAGGUCAUCGGAAAUCACAAACCUCCGUUUUGCACCGUUACUAUUCUUUGAUCAAUCUUCGCACACCGAUUCAAAAUGAAGCCGAAGAAGAAAAAUGAUGCAGAAGAUGAAGAACAACAAUGCAAAUCGCAGAGAAAAUUUUCAAGAAUAAAGUCCGAGAAACCUAAACCAGAUCUGCUAUUCGUACCUCUGGAUUCACUGUACCACCACAAUUUCCAAGAUUCCGCAAGAACUGGCCAGAUUACUGUGCACACCACUGAAAUGCUUUUUGAACCACGAAAUUUUUUCGGAAAAUUUUCGAGAAUUUUCGAAAAUGAAUUUUGAGAGAAUGACAAUGGAAACCUAAGUCAAAGAAAAUUGCUAAUGAUCUAGUAGCAAUUUAUGAACUCAAAAAUGAAAAUCAAAUGCACUCAAGAGCUCUAAUCUAUGAAGAAAUUUGAAAAAAAUAUCAAAAAGUUCAACUAAUGGAGUUUAUGACAAAUUUGGACUAAACAUGACUCUAGACAAAACAUAUAUGAUUAUAAAAUCAAAAUGACUCAAUUAUAUGAAAAUUUCACCGAACAAAUUUGAAGAAAACUCAAAAAAUUCAAAAGCACACAUGAACAUGAACACAAGAACACCUAAAAGCACAUACAUGAAGGUUCAAGUAAGAACAAUUAAUUUGAACCGAACAAAAAGACAAAAAAACACAAAAUCAAUCGGUAAACAUUCAAGACAAUCAAGAACAUUAUGAACAACACGGAAUUUAGAAAAAAAUAGAAGAAGAUCUUAC
rnacentral:lncRNA from 1 species